UACAGAGGUGGCAAGCGUUGUUCGGAAUUACUGGGCGUAAAGGGCGCGUAGGCGGUCUUCUAAGUCUUGUGUGAAAUCCCUCGGCUCAACUGAGGAACUGCACGGGAUACUGGAAGACUUGAGUUCGGGAGAGGGAAGCGGAAUUCCGGGUGUAGCGGUGAAAUGCGUAGAUAUCGAGAGGAACACCUGCGGCGAAGGCGGGUUGCUGGGCUGACACUGACGCUGAACUGCGAAAGCUAGGGGAGCGAACGGG
rnacentral:rRNA from 1 species